AUUGCUGGUGUGGCAUUGUUUAUCAUUGCUGGUGUGUCAUGAUUUAUCUUUGCGAUUUCAGAAGUUCGAAUCAAAAACCAGCUUGAUGGGGAUGAGUUUUACUCCAGGUUAAAUGGAUCUUACAUAAGUGCAGAUCAUGGAUUACCAACUGCUGUGUAUGAGGAAAUACCCCUUUCUACAGAAACUGAAGGUUCUGAAGCAGUAAUCGGCCAGCAUUGUUUCUACUCAGCUGUUCAGUUGACACCAUUAAACCAAGG